AUAGUGUAUAUGCACAACAUUUAUGUUUGAACUAGGUCAGAGAAGGAAUUCAGCAGCCUUAAGAGCCUCUAAAUGUGUGUGCUUUUUUAUUAUAUUAU
rnacentral:SRP_RNA from 1 species